CUGUGUGAUUGUUCCCCGGGGGUAAUCCAGACCAGAGCCCGUUCUGCUGUGUGAUUGUUCCCCGGGGGUAAUCCAGACCAGAGCCCGUUCUGCUGUGUGAUUGUUCCCCAGGAGUAAUCCAGACCAGAGCCCCCUGUUCUGUGUGAUUGUUCCCCGGGGGUAAUCCAGACCAGAGCCUGUUCUGUGUGAUUGUUCCCCGGGGUAGUCAAGACCAGAGUCGGUUGUGAGCCACUGUGUGGACUCUUAGGUCAAUCCCAAAUUGCACCUUGUUCCCUAUAUAAUGAACUACCAUUUACCUAUGGGAGCAGGCUGUCAUUUUGGAAUGCAAACUAGACUACUGCCUUUCUUACUUCAGGCUGCUGGGACUGGUUAUUUUCAGCUGCCAAGCCCAGAUCAGUUCAGUCUGCUGGUUCUGAACUGAUGAAGCCACCAUUGGAAGGAUGAUGGGAAAAAAGCACAAGGGGAUUUUUUAAAGCUGCUGCACCCAUUCUUGUUGAGACUCCUGUGGGAGGCUGGACUGGGCCCAGUUUAGGGUUUGGAAUGGGCUGGGUUGGAGACUGGGCUGGGUUAGGAGCUAGUGGUUGGUCAUGAAUGGCAUGCUGCCUUGCCAUCCAGUCAUGUGUGACCUCAAAAAAGGGCAGGGUCAGCCGAUGACCCUCCCAGUACACGGUGAUGACCCCAACCGUGGUAACACGUCAUCUGAGUGGUUUGAGACUGUUGAAGGUGCCGUCAUCAUAUUGCCAGAUAAUUUUGCACUCCAGCUUCAGCUUGUUGGCAGGCAAGUUAGCCUGGCCCUGGGGCUGCAAAGCAGGCCAGGACCAUAAUUCCCCUCCACAAUGUUUUGCGUUUGGUGCGGGGUUCUUCUGGUUAAAGAAAAUUUUGUUUUCCUCAGACAUGUUUGGAAUUGUGGUCACAACUCCGCUUAUGUUGUUCUUCACACGUCGUCUCGGUCUCUCUGUGCAUUUGUAUCCUGUUUUUGCUGGACCGCACAAGCAGCCACGAAGAGCAAGAGUGUCUGACUGCCUGACCACCCAUUGUUAAAUAGCGUAGGGGUUGGAGAUGCCGUCUGCCUCACAAAAUACGCAAAUGGUAUUCUGUACAGUAGGUUUUAGAUAAGCACAGCAGCGGAGUAUUGGCCACUUCUCACAACAAAGCUGGCAUUGGCCCAUAAAAAGCUGCUCUUCAAAACCCCUCCCUUGUUCACCAUAAUCACACCAACUCGCUGAACCAGGCUUGUUUUUUUUUAAUAAAGCUUCUUUUCAGACCUCCUAGAUGGCACAUUUGUGAAAUCUCUUUUUGAGGGUAGAUCAAACUACUAAGCAAAGAACGUUUAAAAGACGUCUUUCAAGUCAUUUUGCUGGGAAGCACUUCGACAAUGUUGUAUUCCUGUAAAUCCCCUGAUGUCACCCUGGAGUUUUAAGACACCUUUCACAUUUUUUGACCAGGUCUUGGUGUGACCGCCUGUAGAUCGAUUGCCAGAGGACUGCAAUCUUCCCCAUUUCUUGAUUGUGAGUUGGACAGUAGAAUGAUCACUUCAAAUAGCUUAGUAAUUCUUCUGUUACCCCUCCCAGAGGUGUGGCCAUCGGAAGCCUUCUGAGGGUCUCGGAGAGCAAUUUGGACCAAUCACGUGUAUGAUUAAGACCAAACCAAAUGUAAGUCUGGACCCUCCCAGUUACUCUAAUGACAUUUGCAUAUGUGUUUAGCCAUUUGAUGUCUUUAUUUCUAAAAUAAAGUUGGCUCUAUCUGUUGACAGGGUUUAAUUGAAAAUGAUCCAUUAUCC
ensembl:lncRNA